rnacentral:lncRNA from 1 species
UUUGCCGAAAGGAGGACAGGUGAUGGAUGAUCUUAUACCCAUGUCGAAAAGAGAGAGCCCUCUUCCUAUCCACUCGAUGAACUGUAAAACCUGCUGGUUGUAUAUAAUCUGUUUGGAUGUCGGAGGAAAGCCAAGUCUCAGAAAAAGGGAGUAUGUUGCAGAAUCUGAUGUCCCUCUGGAAGGAGACCCUCAGGGACAUCACUGGCUUGGCGUGCUAAGACAUGGUGGAGAAUACAGAAGAGGUUCUGUCAGGGUCUGCUGGUUGUGUCAACAAGAUAACACAGUUUCAGGAGGGAGAUCAGGAGACAGACCAGUAGAAAGACCAGGGCCUGCUCCAGACAGAUAAAAGCAGGGAAUACCAACCUCCUCUUCCUCCCUGGAUGCGCCGCCUCUAGAAUGGAGAUGUGCAACAUCCAACCACAGCUUUCCUUGGGACCGGUCUGCCUCCUCUCCCCUCCACCCAUCCCAAAUCCUACUCCUUCCCUUAUCCCUCAUCUCUCAUGCUGCAGGUCUCCC